UAAGCAGGACAGGUAAUCGCGGAUGAUAUAUCAUUUCCGAUUUUGUAUCGGGAAAAUGAUAUCAUAUGAGGAAAGUCCGGGCUUCACAGGGCAGGAUGCCGGAUAACGUCCGGGAGAGGUGACUUUCGGAAAGUGCAACAGAAAAUAACCGCUGCCUUCGGCAGUAAGGGUGAAAAGGCGAGGUAAGAGCUCACCGCUCUUCUGGUAACAGAGGAGGCUGUGUAAACCCCAUCUGAAGCAAGACCAAAACGAAGCCAUAUGGCUGCCCGCCAUACUUCAGGUAGGUCGCUUGAACCGUGUGGCAACAUACGGUCUAGAUAGAUGAUUACCCACGACAUAACCCGGCUUAUCGUUCUGCUUACAUA
rfam:Eubacterium ruminantium strain ATCC 17233 genome assembly, contig: EI46DRAFT_scaffold00001.1